CAGCCGCCGCGGGAAUACGUAGGGUGCAAGCGUUAAUCGGAAUUACUGGGCGUAAAGCGUGCGCAGGCGGUUAUAUAAGACAGAUGUGAAAUCCCCGGGCUUAACCUGGGAACUGCAUUUGAAACUGUCAGGCUGGAGUCUUGUAGAGGGGGGUAGAAUUCCAGGUGUAGCGGUGAAAUGCGUAGAGAUCUGGAGGAAUACCGGUGGCGAAGGCGGCCCCCUGGACAAAGACUGACGCUCAGGUGCGAAAGCGUGGGGAGCAAACAGGAUUAGAUACCCCAGUAGUCCCUGUCUCUUAUAC
rnacentral:rRNA from 1 species